UACGAAGGGGGCUAGCGUUGUUCGGAAUCACUGGGCGUAAAAGGCGCGUAGGCGGCUUUAUAAGUCGGGGGUGAAAGCCUGUGGCUCAACCACAGAAUUGCCUUCGAUACUGUAGAGCUUGAGACCGGAAGAGGUAAGUGGAACUGCGAGUGUAGAGGUGAAAUUCGUAGAUAUUCGCAAGAACACCAGUGGCGAAGGCGGCUUACUGGUCCGGUUCUGACGCUGAGGCGCGAAAGCGUGGGGAGCAAACAGG
rnacentral:rRNA from 1 species